CUUACGUAUUUAGGAUCUAUAGUGUCUUGAACAGAGAGAUUACGUUUCGGUUAGUGAGCUGGCCUGAUCAACCAACUCGAGUGUCUGAAUUGUUAAGGAUACUUAUAACUUGGAACAGUUGUGUUAAGAAGAUACGGAUCUAAAAUGUCAGAGACGACAUUCAAGAAGGAGGGGAGAGUGUAGCCGUGUGAGAAAACAAUUAAGAAACAGCUUUAAAGACUGGAACUUAGUCAGCGGUUAUGUUGUAAAAACGGGCUCAGUAAUAUAGUCUAGCGCUUUUUAAAAACGAUAAGAC